AUAAGAGGUCCAGCCUGCCCAGUGACAAAUGUUCAACGGCCGCGGUAUCCUAACCGUGCGAAGGUAGCGUAAUCACUUGUUCUUUAAAUGUGGACUAGUAUGAACGGCACCACGAGGGUUAUACUGUCUCCUUUCUCCAAUCAGUGAAACUAAUCUCCCCGUGAAGAAGCGGGGAUAAAAAUAUAAGACGAGAAGACCCUAUGGAGCUUAAAAGUUUACUUCAAACGCUAACCCCUACAAAGUCAUAGACUACCACAAGAAGCCACGCGCCAUGAAAACAACUUUUAGGUUGGGGUGACCAUGGAGCACAAAACAACCUCCACGCUGAACAGGCCUCCAAGCCUCGAGCCAAGGGCCACAACCCGCCGCACUAAAAAAUUAACAUCCAUUGAUCCAAUGAAUUUUGAUCAACGAACCAAGUUACCCUAGGGAUAACAGCGCAAUCUACUUCAAGAGUUCCUAUCGACAAGUGGGUUUACGACCUCGAUGUUGGAUCAGGGUGUCCCAGUGGUGCAGCCGCUACUAAUGGUUCGUUUGUUCAACGAUUAAAACCCUACGUG
rnacentral:rRNA from 1 species